rnacentral:lncRNA from 1 species
AAUUGAAUCAAAUUUCAUGGGUUUAACAACAACAUUUUCAUCGUAUCCACAAUUAAAUCAAAUUUCAUGGGUUUAACAAUAAUAUUUUAAUUAUUCACACAAUUCAAUCAGAUUUCAUGGGUUUACCAACAACAUUUUCAUCAAUCACACAAUUCUAUCUAAUUUCAUUGGUUUAGCAACAACAUUUUCAUCAUUCACACAAUUCUAUCUAAUUUCAUGGGUUUAACAACAACAUUUUCAUCAUUCACACAAUUCUAUCUAAUUUCAUGGGUUUAACAACAACAUUU